rnacentral:rRNA from 1 species
GACGAACGCUGGCGGCGUGCCUAACACAUGCAAGUCGAACGAGUGGCGGACGGGUGAGUAAUGGCUGGGAAACUGCCCGAUGGAGGGGGAUAACUACUGGAAACGGUAGCUAAUACCGCAUACCAUCGGAUGUGCCCAGAUGGGAUUAGCUAGUAGGUGGGGUAACGGCUCACCAAGGCGACGAUCCCUAGCUGGUCUGCGAGGAUGACCAGCCAAACUGGAACUGAGACACGGUCCAGACUCCUACGGGAGGCAGCAGUGGGGAAUAGUGCACAAUGGGCGCAAGCCUGAUGCAGCCAUGCCGCGUGUAUGAAGAAGGCCUUCGGGUUGUAAAGUACUUUCAGCGAGGAGGCGUUACUCGCAGAAGAAGCACCGGCUAACUCCGUGCCAGCAGCCGCGGUAAUUC